UACGUAGGGGGCAAGCGUUAUCCGGAUUUACUGGGUGUAAAGGGAGCGUAGGCGGCUUAGUAAGUCAGAAGUGAAAGCCCGCAGCUCAACUGCGGGACUGCUUUUGAAACUGCCAGGCUAGAGUGUCGGAGAGGUAAGUGGAAUUCCUAGUGUAGCGGUGAAAUGCGUAGAUAUUAGGAGGAACACCAGUGGCGAAGGCGGCCGCCUGGCCUGUUGCUGACGCUGAGGCACGAAAGCGUGGGGAGCAAAUAGG
rnacentral:rRNA from 1 species